rnacentral:sRNA from 1 species
GUAUCAGUCGUUUGCAUUUGGUACGUGUGGAGAGGAUCAGUCACAGGGAGAGAUUACAGGGUCACGCUUCAUUGGAACAGAGCCUUUUGUCAUGGUCACUGGAAAUUGUUGGGGAGAGACGCAGGGCGAUAACUGCCCGAAAAUUAAUGAAACUAAAUAUCCGAUAGCAGAAAUGCUGCUGCCGACCAAAACCUGGGGGAGAUAUUUCCUGAUGUUUAAAGCCAUAGGCCGUUCAGCUCCUGGAUUCCAUGUCGUUCUGGCCAGCACGGAUGAGACGCCUUGCGCCAUCUUCAAAUCUGGCGCCUCACGUGACUUUUUCAUGCUCUGGAA